UUGAGGCAAAGUGGUGUUCUACUUACAUAAUGAAAUGUAAGAAACUCUAUUGAUUAUACACGAACUGCUCCAUCAACAGUUAGAAACUCUUUUGUUCCCUUUUUUUCAAGAACGGAUGACGAGCAGCACUAAAACAAAAUGGUUUUUGUUAUGAAAAUUUUCUCAAAUUCUCUAAAGGAAAUCGGAGAUUUAUUGAAGUGAAGUAAGGUGGAAGAAGAGUAGUUCUUGGCAUAUAAGAUUGGGAAGCCCGGGAUCUAAUUUGUGGUUAGCUUGGAGCAGAUAAGUCCCAGAUUAUUUUGUAGGUAAAAGUAUUAAGCUAGGAUGAUUGGCAAUCGCCUGGGAUUGGCAAACUCCAUUUUCUUCCUGGAGCAGUGCCGAGUCAUUAUGGUUAUCAUAUGUGUGUAUGGGUAUGUCGGGGCCCUGUCCCGACUCAUAUGAUUCAGGUGUUUACUCUUAGAGACUUUGCAGACAGUGUCAUGUGGUUAGUAUGUUAAGAUGUCAUGUGUUGAGUAAAGCGACCAUGUAGUUAGUUUGACUUACUCGAUUUUUGAUUAAUUGAAUAUCGUUCGCAAAUUUCUAUGGUUUGACUUAAAGUACU